GACGAACGCUGGCGGCGUGCCUAAUACAUGCAAGUAGAACGCACAGUAUAUACCGUAGCUUGCUACACCAUAGACUGUGAGUUGCGAACGGGUGAGUAACGCGUAGGUAACCUGCCUGGUAGCGGGGGAUAACUAUUGGAAACGAUAGCUAAUACCGCAUAAUAUUAAUUAUUGCAUGAUAAUUGAUUGAAAGAUGCAACUGCAUCACUACCAGAUGGACCUGCGUUGUAUUAGCUAGUAGGUGAGGUAACGGCUCACCUAGGCGACGAUACAUAGCCGACCUGAGAGGGUGAUCGGCCACACUGGGACUGAGACACGGCCCAGACUCCUACGGGAGGCAGCAGUAGGGAAUCUUCGGCAAUGGACGAAAGUCUGACCGAGCAACGCCGCGUGAGUGAAGAAGGUUUUCGGAUCGUAAAGCUCUGUUGUAAGAGAAGAACGGGUGUGAGAGUGGAAAGUUCACACUGUGACGGUAUCUUACCAGAAAGGGACGGCUAACUACGUGCCAGCAGCCGCGGUAGUACGUAGGUCCCGAGCGUUGUCCGGAUUUAUUGGGCGUAAAGCGAGCGCAGGCGGUUAGAUAAGUCUGAAGUUAAAGGCUGUGGCUUAACCAUAGUACGCUUUGGAAACUGUUUAACUUGAGUGCAGAAGGGGAGAGUGGAAUUCCAUGUGUAGCGGUGAAAUGCGUAGAUAUAUGGAGGAACACCGGUGGCGAAAGCGGCUCUCUGGUCUGUAACUGACGCUGAGGCUCGAAAGCGUGGGGAGCGAACAGG
rnacentral:rRNA from 1 species